rnacentral:rRNA from 1 species
GCGAACGGGAUUAGAUACCCUGGUAGUCCACGCUGUAAACGAUGUCGAUUUGGAGGUUGUGCCCUUGAGGCGUGGCUUCCGGAGCUAACGCGUUAAAUCGACCGCCUGGGGAGUACGGCCGCAAGGUUAAAACUCAAAUGAAUUGACGGGGGCCCGCACAAGCGGUGGAGCAUGUGGUUUAAUUCGAUGCAACGCGAAGAACCUUACCUACUCUUGACAUCCAGAGAACUUUCCAGAGAUGGAUUGGUGCCUUCGGGAACUCUGAGACAGGUGCUGCAUGGCUGUCGUCAGCUCGUGUUGUGAAAUGUUGGGUUAAGUCCCGCAACGAGCGCAACCCUUAUCCUUUGUUGCCAGCGGUUCGGCCGGGAACUCAAAGGAGACUGCCAGUGAUAAACUGGAGGAAGGUGGGGAUGACGUCAAGUCAUCAUGGCCCUUACGAGUAGGGCUACACACGUGCUACAAUGGCAUAUACAAAGAGAAGCGACCUCGCGAGAGCAAGCGGACCUCAUAAAGUAUGUCGUAGUCCGGAUUGGAGUCUGCAACUCGACUCCAUGAAGUCGGAAUCGCUAGUAAUCGUAGAUCAGAAUGCUACGGUGAAUACGUUCCCGGGCCUUGUACACACCGCCCGUCACACCAUGGGAGUGGGUUGCAAAAGAAGUAGGUAGCUUAACCUUCGGGAGGGCGCUUACCACUUUGUGAUUCAUGACUGGGG